rnacentral:rRNA from 1 species
AUUGAACGCUGGCGGCGUGCUUAACACAUGCAAGUCGAUCGGUAACGCGGGGGCAACCCUGGCGACGAGAGACGGACGGGUGAGGAACGCUUGGGAAUCUGCCCUUCAGCGGGGGACAACACGGGGAAACUCGUGCUAAUACCGCAUACGCUCCACGGAGGAAAGCCGGGGACCGCAAGGCCUGGCACUGAAGGAUGAGCCCAAGUCGGAUUAGCUAGUUGGCGGGGUAACGGCCCACCAAGGCGACGAUCCGUAGCUGGUCUGAGAGGACGAUCAGCCACACUGGGACUGAGACACGGCCCAGACUCCGACGGGAGGAAGCAGUGGGGAAUAUUGGACAAUGGGGGAAACCCUGAUCCAGCGACGCCGCGUGGGUGAAGAAGGCCUGCGGGUUGUAAAGCCCUUUCGGUAGGGACGAAAGCUCUCGACCUAACACGUCGGGAGGUUGACUUAACCUACAAAAGAAGCACCGGCUAACUCUGUGCCAGCAGCCGCCGUAACAC